GCCAAUCCCAAAAACCUACUCUCAGUUCGGAUUGAAGUCUGCAACCCGACUUCAUGAAGCUGGAUUCGCUAGUAAUCGCGCAUCAGCCACGGCGCGGUGAAUACGUUCCCGGGCCUUGUACACACCGCCCGUCAAGCCAUGGGAGCCGGGGGUACCUGAAGUGCGUAACCGCAAGGAGCGCCCUAGGGUAAAACUGGUGACUGGGGCUAAGUCGUAACAAGGUAUC
rnacentral:rRNA from 1 species